GAGAUGGAGAAAGUAAUCGAGACUGGAACCCUACAGUCCCUGACAGAAAUCGACACAUGUAACUCUAACUCACCAAAUACAUCUUCGGAACUGAUGACUCAGCUGACGUCUGUCUUGGAAGUGCUGGCAAAGGAAGCAGUGGACAAAAUCUGUAGGCUUGUAAGUGAAGGCCAGUGCGGCAGUCCGGUGGAGCAGGAAACAUUGAAGGGAAAUUUUGAACGAAUGGACCAAGGGUUUAGGACUGCACUCAAAAAAAUCAACGGGCCUGAGGCAUAUCAACAGUAUUCAGAUCAAUUCUACAGAAAAGUUCACUCCCCUAACCAACAAAAAAGUGAGCAGGACAUUCACAUUUUGUCAAGCUUAGUAAUAGCUAAAGCUUAGUCAGUAAUAGUGAAC
ensembl:lncRNA